CUGGAUUUGAAAAUCGACCCUGAUAAAAACCUAAAAGUGCAUUAAAUACCCAUACCAACUCAUGCUUAGACAGUACAAGUAAUGACAGUGUUCUGUUACGUCACUGACUGAGUGAAUUUAGUUUUACACCGGACUCAGCAAUAUUCCAG